UUUAUGGAGAGUUUGAUCCUGGCUCAGGAUGAACGCUGGCGGCGUGCCUAAUACAUGCAAGUCGAGCGAACGGACGAGAAGCUUGCUUCUCAGAUGUUAGCGGCGGACGGGUGAGUAACACGUGGAUAACCUACCUAUAAGACUGGGAUAACUUCGGGAAACCGGAGCUAAUACCGGAUAAUAUUUUGAACCGCAUGGUUCAAAAGUAAAAGACGGUCUUGCUGUCACUUAUAGAUGGAUCCGCGCUGCAUUAGCUAGUUGGUAAGGUAACGGCUUACCAAGGCAACGAUGCAUAGCCGACCUGAGAGGGUGAUCGGCCACACUGGAACUGAGACACGGUCCAGACUCCUACGGGAGGCAGCAGUAGGGAAUCUUCCGCAAUGGGCGAAAGCCUGACGGAGCAACGCCGCGUGAGUGAUGAAGGUCUUCGGAUCGUAAAACUCUGUUAUUAGGGAAGAACAUAUGUGUAAGUAACUGUGCACAUCUUGACGGUACCUAAUCAGAAAGCCACGGCUAACUACGUGCCAGCAGCCGCGGUAAUACGUAGGUGGCAAGCGUUAUCCGGAAUUAUUGGGCGUAAAGCGCGCGUAGGCGGUUUUUUAAGUCUGAUGUGAAAGCCCACGGCUCAACCGUGGAGGGUCAUUGGAAACUGGAAAACUUGAGUGCAGAAGAGGAAAGUGGAAUUCCAUGUGUAGCGGUGAAAUGCGCAGAGAUAUGGAGGAACACCAGUGGCGAAGGCGACUUUCUGGUCUGUAACUGACGCUGAUGUGCGAAAGCGUGGGGAUCAAACAGGAUUAGAUACCCUGGUAGUCCACGCCGUAAACGAUGAGUGCUAAGUGUUAGGGGGUUUCCGCCCCUUAGUGCUGCAGCUAACGCAUUAAGCACUCCGCCUGGGGAGUACGACCGCAAGGUUGAAACUCAAAGGAAUUGACGGGGACCCGCACAAGCGGUGGAGCAUGUGGUUUAAUUCGAAGCAACGCGAAGAACCUUACCAAAUCUUGACAUCCUUUGACAACUCUAGAGAUAGAGCCUUCCCCUUCGGGGGACAAAGUGACAGGUGGUGCAUGGUUGUCGUCAGCUCGUGUCGUGAGAUGUUGGGUUAAGUCCCGCAACGAGCGCAACCCUUAAGCUUAGUUGCCAUCAUUAAGUUGGGCACUCUAAGUUGACUGCCGGUGACAAACCGGAGGAAGGUGGGGAUGACGUCAAAUCAUCAUGCCCCUUAUGAUUUGGGCUACACACGUGCUACAAUGGACAAUACAAAGGGCAGCGAAACCGCGAGGUCAAGCAAAUCCCAUAAAGUUGUUCUCAGUUCGGAUUGUAGUCUGCAACUCGACUACAUGAAGCUGGAAUCGCUAGUAAUCGUAGAUCAGCAUGCUACGGUGAAUACGUUCCCGGGUCUUGUACACACCGCCCGUCACACCACGAGAGUUUGUAACACCCGAAGCCGGUGGAGUAACCUUUUAGGAGCUAGCCGUCGAAGGUGGGACAAAUGAUUGGGGUGAAGUCGUAACAAGGUAGCCGUAUCGGAAGGUGCGGCUGGAUCACCUCCUUUCU
rnacentral:rRNA from 1 species